CAUAUUUAGUCAUUCAUUUUUGAUCAGGAGAAAGAAGACAGCCAUCAUUUGAAAGGUAAAGCUUCAGCGACUGAAGGAGUGUGGACUUUUUGAAUUUCAAGAACAGUAAAGUUGGAACACAGCAGAGGGUGUGUAAUAAAAUACAGGAAAAGACCUUCAAGAUCACAUGCUUCAUUGUUCAUUUUAGAGCGUGACGACAGCAUGUACGAUCCCUGAAUGGGCCCGUGGG
rnacentral:sRNA from 1 species